AACGCUAGCUACAGGCUUAACACAUGCAAGUCGAGGGGAAACGACAUCGAAAGCUUGCUUUUGAUGGGCGUCGGCCGGCGCACGGGUGAGUAACGCGUAUCCAACCUGCCCACCACUUGGGGAUAACCUUGCGAAAGUAAGACUAAUACCCAAUGAUAUCUCUAGAAGACAUCUGAAGGAGAUUAAAGAUUUAUCGGUUAUGGAUGGGGAUGCGUCUGAUUAGCUUGUUGGCGGGGUAACGGCCCACCAAGGCAACGAUCAGUAGGGGUUCUGAGAGGAAGGUCCCCCACAUUGGAACUGAGACACGGUCCAAACUCCUACGGGAGGCAGCAGUGAGGAAUAUUGGUCAAUGGGCGAGAGCCUGAACCAGCCAAGUAGCGUGCAGGAUGACGGCCCUAUGGGUUGUAAACUGCUUUUAUACAGGAAUAAAGUUAGCCACGUGUGGUUAUUUGUAGGUACUGUAUGAAUAAGGACCGGCUAAUUCCGUGCCAGCAGCCGCGGUAAUACGGAAGGUCCAGGCGUUAUCCGGAUUUAUUGGGUUUAAAGGGAGCGUAGGCCGUCUGUUAAGCGUGUUGUGAAAUGUAGAUGCUCAACAUCUGAAUUGCAGCGCGAACUGGCAGACUUGAGUGUGCGCAACGUAGGCGGAAUUCGUGGUGUAGCGGUGAAAUGCUUAGAUAUCACGAAGAACUCCGAUUG
rnacentral:rRNA from 1 species